UACGAGGGGGGCUAGCGUUGCUCGGAAUCACUGGGCGUAAAGCGCACGUAGGCGGCUUUUUAAGUCAGAGGUGAAAUCCUGGAGCUCAACUCCAGAACUGCCUUUGAUACUGGAGAGCUUGAGUCCGGGAGAGGUGAGUGGAACUGCGAGUGUAGAGGUGAAAUUCGUAGAUAUUCGCAAGAACACCAGUGGCGAAGGCGACUUACUGGACACAUAUUGACGCUGAGGUGCGAAAGCGUGGGGAGCAAACAGG
rnacentral:rRNA from 1 species